UCUUAUGGAUGAGCAAAGGAAGGGGUUUCUUGAGAUGGAAUCUGCUCCUGGUGAAGAUACUGUAAA
rnacentral:pre_miRNA from 2 species